rnacentral:rRNA from 1 species
UGGGGAAUAUUGGGCGAUGGGCGAAAGUCUGACCCAGCGACGCCGCGUGAGGGAAGAAGGUCUUCGGAUUGUAAACCUCUGUUGAUAGGGAAGAAGAAAGUGGCGGUACCUAUCGAGGAAGUCACGGCUAACUACGUG